rnacentral:lncRNA from 1 species
CUACAUUUUGGAACGGAGGGAGUGGAGAUAGAUGCUGCUAUGCUGCCGCAUGUGCGACGAAGCUAGCUUAUGUACACAGUUUACCCUGUAGCAUAGAUCUCUGGUCAGUAGAUAGAUGUUUUGUUCACGAUUCCCUUAAUUACUGCAAGUGGUGCACAAAUUACGACUAGCGCCCAUAAACCUUCAACAAGAUGCAAGCUGUAUCCGGCAUACCAGGGUGGAGAAUGGCCCUUAUACAGUCGUACUGCUGUACAACCACUGAUUUCACAAUUCAGGACUCACGUCCUAUACUCCAAGUGCCUGAUUUUUUCCUUACCUUUUACUUUUAUUCCAGUCGCCAGCAAGUUAACGGCAGCGGCUCUCUGGUGGAACUUGCCGGGUGGUGGCAAGCCUGGCUGUGAGGGCAGGACCGCAGGAAGGCAGGGCUAGGGAUGCGGGGCGGGUUUUUUUGGCCGCGAACCUGCUGGGUGAGCCCGUACCGUGAAUCCACGUAACCCGCGUAAUUGCAGCGGUCCAAGCGGGCAUGCCCGCCGUACUCAACGGCGCCGCAAGCGUCAUUCAUACGAGCGUGAAAAUUCUUAUCUUCUCCUAAUAGUACAACAGGCCGUCCCUAGUCACUGCUUUGACUUUUUAUCAACCAGCGGCUGGUAUGUUGCUUAUAUAUGGAGCCACGGCAACUUAUGUAACUAGAUUUUGUGUUUGUUGAAGAUUUUUUUACCUCACGAUCUUGUAAUAAGUGUGCACAUGAAUUAGCUCGAUCUAGUUUGAGUUGGGACUCGGAUCAGUCAUGUGUUUGGCUUAAUCCCCUACCGGAAUUUGUAAAGUUAUUAGCAGUUCAUAAUUUUCCUGAACCACAGACAAAACGAUUUGUAGUGAUGCCCAUUGUUUAGCGACGGGCGAAAUUACCACCUGCACCUACAAAACGUGGGGAGGAGGAUUACUGUAGCAUCCGCACCGCCCCUGGAGAAACAUUUGCAGGGACGGGUCACGAGGACCCGCCCCUAGAAAUGGGCACUAUUUCCAAGGGUGGGUGAUGCCGAUACGUCGCCAAGAAUUUUUUACAACAAAAAGAAAAAUAAUUUGCAGGGAUGGGUGAUGGCGUCAUCCGUCCCUAAAAAUCUUUUCUAGGAGUAGGUGAUGGUGUCACCCGCCCCUUUCCCAGGGCAGGUGACUGCUAAUGCCUCCUAUAUAAGGCAGUCCGCACCGGGGACUUAGCCAAAAAUUCACAGAAGCGCGCGGGACGUCGUUAGGCUGCCGAAUUUUCACUUCCCUCCCCCGAUCUGCCGCCCCCUCCCCCAUGGGCUCCACCACCGCAGUGCCUCCCCUUCCCCCCGGGCCACCGCGCCACGCCUCCUCCCCUCCCUCACGGCGCCUUCCUGUCGCGGCGCCUCCCCUCCCCGCUGCCUCCACCGCUGGGCCAUAGCGCUGAGCCUCCUCCCCUCCUCCCGUGGUGCCUUCCCAUUGCGGUGCCUCCUCUCCCCGCGUCUCCCCUCCUGUGCCGCCUCCACCACCAUGCCUCCCUUUCCACGGGCUACCGCCAUAGCGCCUCCCUCCCCCGCGCGCCUCCCUUCCCCGCGGUGCCUCCGUCCACGACCGUCAGUUUCUUAAUUUUAUUUUAUUUUCUUUUUAUUUUUUUAUUUUGAUUUUAUUUUAACUAUGAGCCGUACUCUCUCCGUCCCAAAUUACAAGUUAUUUUGGCCUUUUUAGAUUCAUAGACUUUGUUAUGCACUAAGAUAUACACUAUAUCUAGAUGCAUAAUAAUAUCUAUGCAUCUAGAAAAGCCAAAACGACCUAUAAUUUGGGAUGGAGGAAGUAGUACUUAGUGUAAAACAACAAUUACAAAUUUCUUCCAUUAUCUUAGACAAUCUUUUAUCCUUAGCAUUUCGUGAAUUAUGAUGUUUUACGGCGCAAUUAUUAUUAAAGUUGAUGUUUGUGGAAUAAUCUAUCUUAUUACAAUUUUAUUUGGAUAGUUUGUGCUAAGUAUGGCAAAUAGACAUUCUUUUCGCCACGGUGGUGGCGGUCGUGGAAGUGGCAGGGAACACUACAUUUUCGAGGAGCCACCGUUGGUUCGUCCUCCGGGAAUUCACUUCCCUAAUCGCGUCAUUGACUUGCCUACCGACGAUCGAAGUAAAGGAGCAAUUUCCAAUAUAGUAAUUCCUAAUUUUAUUACACAUGCAUAUAGUUCCCAAUAUAGUAAUAUUAUUUCCUUCUUGUAAUUGGUUGUUUUAUUACACAUUAAUAAUUUCUUUUUACUUACAUACAAUAUAGCUUAUGGACCCUAUUAGAUGGCUCAAAGAUGUUGUCGAAGCUCUAGAUGGUACCACUCCUUUAGUGUAAUCCGAGGUUGGUGGUGCAAGUAAUUUUAUAAGACUAAAGAUCUCUUUUGAAGUACCUGUUCGAGGAGGAUAGGCCAACUUGAUGCGACGACCAGGAUAGGCUAUUCCGAUGGUAUCAAUUGUCGCAUGAGGUAAAGAAGCAGCUUGACUUUUGAAAAGCCCGUCGUAAAGGCAUGCCUACAACAACUGGAUAAUGGGUACUUUAUGCCAGGCUUCUUAUAUUUUCGAAUAAAGACGCUCGAGGAGAGAGAAAGCAAUGUGACUAUGACUACUGUGAGGUUUUAUCAGCUGAAUCAACAUGACAUGGUAUGUAAUAUAUCUAUUCAUUCUUACAUCUUUAGUUAUGUUACAUCUCUCAACUUUCAUCACAUUAUUUUUAUUUUUAGGAUAUCUUUGGUCAAAUAUUUGCGGCAAUGAGAUUUCAUACGAUUCUAGCUCAAGUCUUAGAUGUGUUGAAUUAUAGUUACAUCGAUGGAAACUUGAUACGCACUAGAGAUUUUAAGCUCCAGGCUCAUCUCACUUUCUACAGGCCAUAUGAUUUUACCUCUCCAUUGUUCGAGAUUUAUGGUAGUGUAUGUGAUCAUCCAUACGAAGCGAUAGAGAGUGCACUAAUUCAUGCUCUAGUUUAUAUUGAUGAAGUUCUAGGCUUUAAGAUUAGAGACUUAAACUAUAUUUCAUAUCUAUGAAGCGAAGCUAAGUAUGAAAUAUGUAGCAUGCAUGGAUGCUCUACCCUUUUCUUAUGAAUUUGAACUUGUUCUGUCUAAGACCAAAGUAUUUAUGCAUGAACUUGCAUUAUGAGACUGGUUAUAUAUAUUCUGUUGCAUAUACAAUGUUCUGUGAGUGUUGGAUCUGAAUGGGUUGAUACAUGGGAGAAUCACAUUUUAAAAAUUUGGCGCAAAAAUAGUACAAAAUUUUGGCGGGAACGACAUUUCCAGCGGCGGGUGAUACCAUCACCCGCCUAGUUUGUAAGGGCGGUUCAUGACAUCACCCGCCCUUGAAAAUGUCUUUACAGGGUGGAUCUAUUACACGCUCUUGCAAACAGCUACUUUUAACUGCGAAAAGCAGGAACGGAUAGCAUGCCCGCCUUUACAAAUGCUAUUUCAACCAUCCUUGGAAACCGUUUUUUAUAGUGAUAAAUAAAAAAAUAUUUUUUAAAAAAAGUACAAUAGGCCGUCCUAACCCUACGAGCGUCAUGCGUACGAGCGUGAAGCGUCCCUGCCCUCCAAACCCAGUAGCAAUCACUGUGGCUCCUGAGUGCUGCCCCAAGCUUGAAGCUUCGUAUCCGAAAGUUCUCCUUUGGCCGCACUUGGCAUUGUCCUGCGACCCUGUCUCCCAGUCUGGCAGACCGCCACUGCCUGGCUCGAGCACGGUACCACCAUUCAAGUGAAGCAUUAGUGGUCUCCGUUUCAGCCAUUCUCGAGACCAUCCGAACAGUUAAAUUAGGUCAGGCAUAAGAGGAUAUCAAACGCCUUCCUGGAUCGCUGGGCUUCGUGCCGAAGCCAGCUAGCUACACACCUUUGGCAUCGUCGGGGGCUCAUCCCUGCACAAGAUAGUCGUGCCGUUCGAUCACCAUCCCACGUUGGCAGCCUGGCAGGACGCCCGUGAGGCGAUGAGUCGUUACGCGAGCUUAGACAGGUUAAGUAACUAUAGUAACCUUCUACUGCUUUAACUAACUGAUAAUCACUUCGAAGGAAGAAUACCAGAUUCUAUUCACUAGUAGAGAAUUGGCUUUCGAUCCGCCCCCUUUUGUCCCGGUUUAAAGUUGGCCCGGGACAAAAGGGGGUGCGCCACGGUAGGUAAAAUUGGAGGGGAGAUUUACUCCCGGUUGGUAAUUGCAACCGGGACUAAAGGCCCCACUUUAGUCCCAGUUGCAACGGCUAGCUGGGGGGCGUCGGUGGCGGGACCCUUUUAUCUCAGUUGGAGGAUCCAACCGGGAUAAAAGGUGAACCCUUUUAUCCCGGUUGGAGGCACCAACCGGGAUAAAAAGUUUAGUCCCGGUUGGUGCCUCCAACCGUUGGAGCCUCCAACCGGGACUAAACUUCCAACCAGGACAAAAGGUGUUCCUUUUUGUCUCGGUUGGAGUUUUUAACCGAGAUAAAAACUCAUCCCCAUUAUAUACGGCCAAGACAGAGGACUUUCUUCCUCCUCCAGCCCGAGCCAGUCCAGCACAUUGACAGAGAGAGCUGAGCUUCACCUACUCUCCAGUGGUGCCGAAGCAAGCAAGGAAGGUGCUGCCCGAAGUUUUUUCCCUCAUUUUCGUGGGAAUUUCACUUGGCCAACACAAGUGUUGCGAAGGUUUGCUACUUCAUCCUCGUGUUAUGCUUUGAUUUAUGCUUUGGAGAUGGAAAGAUUAUUUGCUAGAAUGUGAUGAUGAAGUAGAAAAAUGGAGAGGUAUUUUGAGCUAGAAUGUGAGGGAGAUUGAUGUGUCAUAUAUAGUAUGCAUUAUUGCAAUGGUUUAAAAAUGAUGCUACCUUGUCUAGACGGUUUAUCUUAUCAAAUUCAAUAUAGUUUUUUAAAUCCAUACUUGUUGAACUUGCAUACCAUGUUCAUUUCUGCUACGAUGUUCUCCGCCGAGCAGCAACGUAUGUCAAGAAGGAGGUUCGAUUCUACAAGAAAGAGUGGAUACGGACAUCGUGACCGUGUCCCCUUUUCCGUAGCAUCUAACCUCUUUCAUGACGAAGUGCGGUGCUGCCCAGCUGAGGACAUCCUCGCGAAAUGAUCACGGUCUUCAAGUUCAACAACUUCUGUAGUGGUAAGGAAAGAAUUUUUGUACAUAGAUGACUUCUGCUACUUGUUGAACUUGCAUACCGUGUUCAUCUCUCCGAGGAUGUUUUCCGCCGAGCAGCAACGUAUGUCAAGAAGGAGGUUCGAUUCUACGAGAAAGAGUGGAUACGGACAUCGUGACCGUGUCCCCUUUUCCGUAGCAUCUAACCUCUUUCAUGACGAUGUUGGGAUACGAGGUAGGCUACACUAGCGUAAAUCAAAAUUUCUACCGCGUAUAACCAGGAAGAACUGCCGUAUAAGGAUCACGGGAUUACCACUCGACGCACUACUGGUGCGGAAGAUGUAGAUAUGCGUCGAUGCAGUGAAGACGAUCACGUAGUCGUACGUAGUCGAUCAACGUAGUCGUACGUAGUCGAUCACGUCACGUCCAGCAGCUCCCACGUGCAGCAAGAUCGCCUCCGGUGCCGCGGCUCAUCGUGGCUCGUCGAUGGCUCGUCCAAGUGCUGCAGGCGCAACACCUCCAAGGUAUCCACACGUGCAGGGAGGAAGCGUCGCAAGCUGGACUGCUAGAUCCGCGAGUUGCAACAGGCGAGGGCGUGGGAGGCGCGGCAGAUGUGUUUCGCCAAAAGGUGUAAACCCUAGGGCGCCCCCACCCCUCUAUUUAUAGAGGUUCCUGACGGGCCUCUGGAUCCGAGGCCCAUUAGUACUUCUAAAACUAAUCCAACUCGGAUCUGAUCCGAAUUGGGCUUCCAGCCCCUUAAGUGUGUGACCCUAUGGGUUCGGAUACGUAUAGACAUGGCCCGAGUACUCCUACUCGGCCCAAUAGUCGGUAGCGGCCUCUAGCAAGACGUGCCAACUCCUACACGCACACGAAGAUCAUAUCAGACGAACCAUCACAACAUAAUAUACAUGCUAUUCCCUUUGCCUCACGAUAUUUGGUCUAGCUUCAAGCCGACCGCUCUUUCUCGAUCCUGUGAUUCGGAAUCCCUUUGUAGGUUAACUCUUAACCGUACGUAGCAUGGCCAUGCAUUUUCGGAUCCGAUCACUCGAGGGCCCCAGAGAUAUCACUCUCAAUCAGAGAGGGGCAAAUCCUAUCUUGACUGACCAUGUCUCAUAGCAUGCUUCUUGACAAACCCGAAAGCUACCUUUAUAACUACCCUGUUACGGCGUAGCAUUUGAUAGCCCCUAAGUAGGUCGAUCCACAUCUAGAAUACAUGCGACAGUCUCAGGUCUAAGGACAAAGCGUAUAUGUUGUUUAAAGAGAGAACUACUUCUCGUGUUGGGUCAGUCCUAGCACAUGUCUCCACAUGUGUCCACAUUAUCAGUUCAACAUCUCCAUGUCCAUGACUUGUGAAACAUAGUCAUCAACUAAUACAUGUGCUAGUCUAAUAUUCAUGUGUGUCCUCACAUGAACUCCGACUAGGGACAACUUUAGAAUAACCAUACAAGUAAAGAGUUUCACAUACAAUUCACAUAAUUGCAAAUCAAUUCAAGUAGCCUUUAAUGGAUAUUCAAUGAACACAAUAUACAAAUCAUGGAUACAAAUGGAAUAUCAUCAUCUCUAUGAUUGCCUCUAGGGCAUACCUCCAACAGUCUCCCACUUGCACUAGAGUCAAUCUAGAAGGUACCUAAUACCCAUAGCUCUUACAUGCGCAUCAUGCUUAGCCUGCGGGAGUGGUUUUGUCAAUGGAUCAGAAAUGUUCAGAUCCGUGUGUAUUUUGCAUAUCUUGAUCUCACCCCGGUUAACGAAGUCUCGAAUGAGAUGAAAUCGCCGCAUUACGUGUUUGUUCUUCUGGUGGUUCCUUGGCUCCUUUGCUUGCGCAAUUGCCCUAUUAUUAUCACAGUAGAGAUUCAAUGGGCUGGACGCAUUCGGGAACACACCAAGCUCAAUGAGGAAAUUCCUUAUCCAAACACCUUCCUUCGCGGCUUCCAAAGCCGCGAUGUACUCGGCUUCUGUCGUAGAAUCGGCCACCGUCUCCUGCUUGGAACUCUUCCAACUAACAGCACCACCAUUUAGCGUGAACACAAAUCCUGAUUGUGACUUUGAAUCAUCUCUGUCGGUUUGGAAACUAGCAUCGGUGUAACCUGUUACAAC